GUGGGGAUCUUGACCGUUUACAAGUUUUCAAACAAGAGGGGGUGGGGUGACCCCCUUGGGACUUCCCUCUUAUUUCAUUUCAUUUGUUUUAUUGUCCCCUACAAGAAUAUAUAUGGUUAAGGGGUGGGGAUGUUGACCGUUUACAAGUUUUCAAACAAGAGGGGGUGGGGUAACCCCCUCCGGACUUCCCUUUUAUUUCAUUUCAUCUGUUUUAUUGUUCCCUACAAGAAUAUAUAUG
rnacentral:lncRNA from 1 species